rnacentral:rRNA from 1 species
GACGAACGCUGGCGGCGUGCUUAACACAUGCAAGUCGAACGGAAAGGCCCUGCUUUUGUUGGUUGCUCGAUUGGCGAACGGGUGAGUGACACGUGAGUAACCUGCCCUUGUCUUUGUGAUAACUUCAGGAAGCUGGGGCUCAUACCGCAUAUGAUCUCCUACUGCAUGUUGGUGGUUGGAAAGUUUCGGCUGUUGGGGAUGGACUCGCGGCUUAUCAGCUUGUUGGUGGGGUAGUUGCUUACCAAGGGUUUGACGGGUAGCCGGCCUGAGAGGGUGAACGGCCACAUUGGGACUGAGAGACGGACCAGAAGCCUACGGGAGGCAGCAGGGGGGAAUAUUGCACAAUGGGCGGAAGCCUGAUGCAGAAACCUCGCGUGCGGGAUGACGGCCUUUGGGUUGUAAACAGCUUUCGCAUGUGACGAAGAGUGAGUGACGGUAAUGGGUAAAGAAGCACCGGCUAACUACGUG